GAUGAACGCUGGCGGUGUGCCUAAUACAUGCAAGUCGAGCGAACGGACGAUAAGCUUGCUUCCCUGCUGUUAGCGGCUGACGGGCGAGUAACACGUGGAUCACCUACUUAUAUGUCUGGGAUAACUUCGGGAAGCCGGAGAUAAUACUGCCUGAUACUUUGUACCGCAUGAUUCAAAAGUGAAUGACGGCCUUCCUGUCACUUUUAGAUGGUUCCGCGCUGCAUUAGCUAGUUGGUAAGGUAACGGCUUACCAAGGCAACGAUGCAUAGCCGACCUGAGAGGGUGAUCAGCCACACUGGAACUGAGACACGGUCCAGACUCCUACGGGAGGCAGCAGUAGGGAAUAUUGCGCAAUGGGCGCAAGCCUGACGGAGCAACGCCGCGUGAGUGAAGAAGGUCUUCGGAUCGUAAAACCCUGUUAUUAGGGAAGAACAUAUGUGUAAGAAACUGUGGACGUCUUGACGGUACCUAAACAGAAAGCCACGGCUAACUACGUG
rnacentral:rRNA from 1 species